GCGCUGAUUGGCUGAGAGAGUGCGGGAGGUAGCAGUAAGCUACCCGUUGGCUCGUUGAAGUGGUUACAGAGGACCAGAACUUGGAGACUUCUGAUUGGCUGCAGCAGGGGACACUCCAGCUGUAAAAGGGCCUGGGCAAGAUGGUUGUUACGUCUGUGCCACCUGCUCUCCCAUCGGCCAGAUCAAACCCUGCAACUUAGUUCAGCUUAGUCUGUCUUACUGUAUUGUAUCUUCAGUAGAUGGCUAACGUAAACAACUUUCUCUCUUUUCUGCUGUAUCUUCCUAUGCGGCCUUUAAAAAAUGGCAAUUAAAGCCUUGUUAAUGGAAA